rnacentral:lncRNA from 1 species
UCCUAAUGUUACAAUUUCAACAUGCUUUAUAGAUUCUUGUUAUCUGGAAGUCACUGCGCUAGUCAAUGAAGACUUCAAGUAUGAAGAGGACUUGAUCUUUGCCCUUAAGAAAUUUGAGCGACAGAAAAUCAAUGCUUAGUGCCAACAACUUUUCGUCUGUUCAUUAAAGUAGGAAUUGAUGAGCAUCUUACCACUGAAUCCAGAAGUCAUCUCCUUUAAGGAACCGACCCAGAGCCUAAACCAAUGGGCAAGUCAGCUUACGAAGAACUGUUCAGAUAUUCAGACUAUUAUUCUGGGAGAGAAAAUAUUGGCAGAGAACAGAUGGGAUUUUCUCAAGGAAAAGAAAAUCCUACAUCUUGCAAGAAAUAGAAAAAAAUAAAUAAACUGUUUGAAGAAGAAGCACACCAGGAUGGCAGGAGAGAGCCUGCGGCUGGGCGUCUGACCCGGAAUGUUAAAGCCAGCCUGGCUGGACUCCAGGACGAAGGACACUCUGCCAGCCUCUCCAUAUCGAUUCCUCUCCCCAGUCCCAAGAUCAGGGGAGCAUUCUGUUCCUUGAAGCAUUUUGUGACUAUAAGUCAGAAGUGCUGCAGUUUUAAUAAAGAGCUGUAUUGUCCUGAUCUUGUGCAAUAU